rnacentral:tRNA from 1 species
AAGAUUACAGGACCAAAGAGAAAGCUUCUAACUUUCUACUAAAAGCGGUUAAACUCCGUUUAAAUCUUA